UACGAAGGGGGCUAGCGUUGCUCGGAAUCACUGGGCGUAAAGGGUGCGUAGGCGGGUCUUUAAGUCAGGGGUGAAAUCCUGGAGCUCAACUCCAGAACUGCCUUUGAUACUGAAGAUCUUGAGUUCGGGAGAGGUGAGUGGAACUGCGAGUGUAGAGGUGAAAUUCGUAGAUAUUCGCAAGAACACCAGUGGCGAAGGCGGCUCACUGGCCCGAUACUGACGCUGAGGCACGAAAGCCAGGGGAGCGAAUGGG
rnacentral:rRNA from 1 species